GACGAACGCUGGCGGCGUGCUUAACACAUGCAAGUCGAACGGAAAGGCCCUGCUUGCAGGGUACUCGAGUGGCGAACGGGUGAGUAACACGUGGGUGAUCUGCCCUGCACUUCGGGAUAAGCCUGGGAAACUGGGUCUAAUACCGGAUAGGAGCCAUUUUUAGUGUGAUGGUUGGAAAGUUUUUUUCGGUGUAGGAUGAGCUCGCGGCCUAUCAGCUUGUUGGUGGGGUAAUGGCCUACCAAGGCGGCGACGGGUAGCCGGCCUGAGAGGGUGGACGGCCACAUUGGGACUGAGAUACGGCCCAGACUCCGACGGGAGGCAGCAGUGGGGAAUAUUGCACAAUGGGCGCAAGCCUGAUGCAGCGACGCCGCGGGGGGGAUGACGGCCUUCGGGUUGUAAACUCCUUUCGCUAGGGACGAAGCUUUUUGUGACGGUACCUAGAUAAGAAGCACCGGCUAACUACGUG
rnacentral:rRNA from 1 species